rnacentral:lncRNA from 1 species
UUGGCUGGAUUUAGGGAUGGAAGAGUAUGUGAAUUUGACUUACGUUGGGGCCUCAGAGAAUGGGGGCUUGCGGGGAAGAGGAGGUAAAGAUUCAAGAAUAAAGAUGAAACUCUGUACUCAACACAGUAUGUGGAAGGGUUGGAGAGGAACCAGCCUGGGAGCAGGAGGAGUUCCAGGUGGGAUAGGAAAGAAAGAUUUGUCAGUGGGCACACAGAAGAUGGGUGUGAGGAAUUUGGAUUUGUUUCAUGAAAUGAGGAGUCACUUGGAUAGUUUUUAAUGGAGUGAUAUGACAAACAGUGCUUUGUGUGAUCUACUACAAAGAAAAAAGCAAUAAAUAAAUGAGCUGGACACGGUGGUGUGCACCCGUGGUCCCAGCUAUUUGAGAGGCUGAGGCAGAAGAAUCACUCGAGCCCAGGAGUUGACUGUUACAGUGAGCUAUGAUCAUGCCACUGCACUCCAGCCUGGGUGACAGAGUGAUACUCUGUCUCUUGGAAAAGAUUAACCCCCAAAAGAAGGGUGGUGGGCAUCUUGUAAUGGGGCAUUUUCCAAGAAGAUGUAAAUCUCAACCAUGAUUGU